rnacentral:lncRNA from 1 species
UUCAGAUGUUUGUCACCAUGCUAUGUUACCUUUGUGCUUAUUCUGUAGUUCUUGUAUUUGAUUUUGUUUCUCUCAUUCCAUGGAGGUUGAGGUCCAUGUUGUCAUAUGAUUGAUCCCUUGCAUUUAUUUGGCUGAAGUGCAGUUAGACUAGGUGCUGCUGGUACUGCUCUCCUUCACAAACUACAGAAGGGUAUACCUCCUUGGGUUCCUCUCAGAGGACAUGAGCCGAAGACAUAUAAGCAGAUGCAAGAAGAAGCUUAUGAAAGUAGAAGGCGUGAUUUGGCUGUGCUAGAAGCAAAUGAUGGUGUCUGGCCUGGUGUAAGGACUCCGAGUCAUACCAUGUUUCUUUGGGCUAGUGGCUCAGAGCUGACAUCAAUUUUGGAGGCUGACCACAUGCCAAACAAAUAUAUCCCAAAAGAUCUCAGGUAUGUAGAAUCAUUUCAUUUUGCAACAUUUGUCUUUCUACUGUUGAUGUCUGAAACUUAUCACCCAUCCAGUGUUUUGGACGGCGAUAGGCCACAAGGUCUGCCUCGCCUCGUGGCGAGGCGAGCAGCGAGGCGCUCACCUUUUUGACUUGAGGCACCAAUUAAUACCAAAAACUUAAAAUAUUUAAUUGCAUAUAUAAAUAUCCAAAAUCUCAAUAGCAAUAACAUAUUAACAAAUAUUUCAAUUCAAAAACUACUACUCCCUCUGUCCCAAUUUAUAUGACUUACUUUCCUUUUUAGUCAGUCCCAAAAAGAAUGACACAUUUCUAUUUUAAGUAACAAUUUGCCUAUAAAAUGUCUUUUUUACCCUUAAUGAAAUGAUUUACAACCACACAAAUUUCUAUCAUUCAUUUUGGACCACAAGUUUUAAAAGUCUUCCUUCCUUUCUUAAACUCCGGUACUGCUCUCCUUCACAAACUACAGAAGGGUAUACCUCCUUGGGUUCCUCUCAGAGGACAUGAGCCGAAGACAUAUAAGCAGAUGCAAGAAGAAGCUUAUGAAAGUAGAAGGCGUGAUUUGGCUGUGCUAGAAGCAAAUGAUGGUGUCUGGCCUGGUGUAAGGACUCCGAGUCAUACCAUGUUUC